rnacentral:rRNA from 1 species
AGGGGCCUACGGGGCGCAGCAGUCGGGAAUAUUGCGCAAUGGAGGAAACUCUGACGCAGUGACGCCGCGUGCAGGAAGAAGGUUUUCGGAUUGUAAACUGCUUUAGACAGGGAAGAAACAAGACAGUACCUGUAGAAUAAGCUCCGGCUAACUACGUGCCAGCAGCCGCGGUAAUACGUAGGGAGCAAGCGUUAUCCGGAUUUAUUGGGUGUAAAGGGUGCGUAGACGGGAAUUUAAGUUAGUUGUGAAUUCCCUCGGCUUAAUUGAGGA